AAAAAGGCUCUUUUCAGAGCCACCCACAUUGGUCAUAAAGAGUUG
rfam:Patagioenas fasciata monilis isolate BTP2013 Sc31e1R_53, whole genome shotgun sequence.